GUACACAAAAAUGCACAUAUUGUGAGCUCGAUGAGUAGGGCGGGACACGUGGUAUCCUGUCUGAAUAUGGGGGGACCAUCCUCCAAGGCUAAAUACUCCUGACUGACCGAUAGUGAACCAGUACCGUGAGGGAAAGGCGAAAAGAACCCCGGCGAGGGGAGUGAAAAAGAACCUGAAACCGUGUACGUACAAGCAGUGGGAGCCUCUUAAUGGGGUGACUGCGUACCUUUUGUAUAAUGGGUCAGCGACUUAUAUUCUGUAGCAAGGUUAACCGAAUAGGGGAGCCGAAGGGAAACCGAGUCUUAACUGGGCGUUAAGUUGCAGGGUAUAGACCCGAAACCCGGUGAUCUAGCCAUGGGCAGGUUGAAGGUUGGGUAACACUAACUGGAGGACCGAACCGACUAAUGUUGAAAAAUUAGCGGAUGACUUGUGGCUGGGGGUGAAAGGCCAAUCAAACCGGGAGAUAGCUGGUUCUCCCCGAAAGCUAUUUAGGUAGCGCCUCGUGAAUUCAUCUCCGGGGGUAGAGCACUGUUUCGGCAAGGGGGUCAUCCCGACUUACCAACCCGAUGCAAACUGCGAAUACCGGAGAAUGUUAUCACGGGAGACACACGGCGGGUGCUAACGUCCGUCGUGAAGAGGGAAACAACCCAGACCGCCAGCUAAGGUCCCAAAGUCAUGGUUAAGUGGGAAACGAUGUGGGAAGGCCCAGACAGCCAGGAUGUUGGCUUAGAAGCAGCCAUCAUUUAAAGAAAGCGUAAUAGCUCACUGGUCGAGUCGGCCUGCGCGGAAG
rnacentral:rRNA from 1 species